CGCUCCGGUGGCGUCGGCGACUGAAAGACCAAGGACGACGGGGAAGGAAACACCCGACCAAGCCCCACCCCUCCCGCCCGUGGAGCGCGCUCACUCGGGCGGGUGAACAUCCGGCUCGGGCGGUUUCGGCGGCCCCCGGCGGCUCCGCGCUCGGCGACACAACCACAGAGCGGCUGCUGCUCUCC
rnacentral:ncRNA from 1 species